UUAUAAACAUGAAAAAAUAAAAAUAAAAAGGAAACUAACGGUAGUCGUUACGUUGCGUCAGCUGCUGUGGAAAUGGCCAUGUUAAGAAAGCUGGCUAGCGAUAUAAGAUGGAAGAAGGAGGAUAAACUGAUGCCUGGAGUAAAAUUUGGUAUCAAAUACAAAAGUGUGACACGACACAGAAAUGAGGUACACGAGAGACAUCCCCUUGCAGACAUCACUAUUAACCCAUUCAACCUUGGUCCUGGCGUCGGCGAUGAGAUGACAGAACAGGAACAAAAUGAGGAGACGAGGCGGAGGAAAAAGAGGCAAAGAUUAGAAAUCCCAGGGUUGCUCCACCCUGAUGACCUGACGCCCUCCCGACAACGUAGUAACAGCAAUGCCAGUAACGCUACCUCCAAGAAAAGGGGGAUGCAGCAGGAUAAGCAGCAACACAGUGAUGAACUAGGUGAGCCCACACAACACUACCUCGUGUCUCUCAUCCGUAACUGCCACCGCCAACUGUACGGUGACCCCAGCAAGUGCAGUGGCCAGGUGGAGGGGGAGGGUGACAGCACAUCUCAACUCCCGUCCUCCACGUUCUCCUCACCACAGCCCGUGGUUCCCUGUUACUCCAUGAACAACUUGGGUAUGAUGGAGCUGGCAGGGAUGCAGGAUGAGACGCUCUGUGGGACUGUCGUGGAGAAAAAAUCCCCUUUUAUUGCCACAGAGAAAAAGAUGUGGCAGGGGAUGGAAUGGAAAGGCAAUGAUGGUUAUGGUGAUGUGAUGGGGCAGCAAGGAAUAUGGCGUCGUGCAGCACCGGUGGAAGAAAGCGUUAACGUACUGCAUGAUGUGUCAGAUAAAGAUGCAGAGCUCAACAGAGUUUGUUCAGACAAUCGUGGCCAUCAGGUGGCAGGGGAGCGAGUGUGGCAGUGGUUGACUCAGGAGGGUGAUGGUGUGAGAGAUCAGACGUGCAAGCUUGAAGGUAGACCGGCGACAGAAAAUGACAACUGCUUCGGGAUAUGGAGGGGCUGGGAAUCACCCGGAAAUCAUGAUCUACCUUUCCAUAACCCACAUUCCUACCACCAGUCGACUGCCGCACAUCACCAUAUGGUAAAUGCCUUCCCAGCACUGUCACCAGCAACUGUCUCUGAGGAUCCAGGAGCAGUGAUAAGGGAGGGUGCUCGGGAUGCAGGUAGCGGUGGCAGAGAUGAUGGUGGUGAUAGCCGGUCAGUAUUCCUUCAUGGCCUUCUUCACACAAGCCAGCAGGAGCAGGGACCCAGUAUGCGGUUCCAGCCAGGACUCAUCAACUCAGGCCACGUACGCUCCGCAGAAGACUCGCAAAUAACUUCUGCUCCUUGUAGCCUAUGGAACUCCUUCAUGAAGCCUCCUCCUCCUCCUCCUCCAUCUCCUAUUAAUUCUGCUUCUCAUUUUCUUCCCUCUACUUUUCCUUAUCCUCCAUCAUCACCUCUACAUCGUCCUCGUUAUCUUCCUUUAUCUACAGACCUUCCUCCUCCUCCUCCUCCUCCUCCUCCUCCUCCUCCUUCUCCUCCUCCUCCCCCUCCUCCUCCUCCCUCUUCUCCUCUUAUUCAUUCUUCUUUUCUUCCUCACUUAUUUCCUCCUCCUCCUUCUCCUUCUCCCGGUGUUUCCAAUCCUGCAUCUGCUUCUACUUCUAUUGCUUUUCCUCCUCCUCCUCCUCCUCCUCCUCCUCCUCCUCCUCCUCCGCCAUCUCCUCUCCAAACACAAGCUUCUUCGUCUCCUCCGCCUUCGCCUCUUUCUGCUACCCAAGCCACCGAAUUUUCCUUCAGUCCUAAAUGCUCUCAACAGCAGGACGUGAUAUGGGGAGGAGUGAGAAGCACGAUAGAACUUGUCGCCGUGAGUCACCUGGAGAGCAACAUGGUCUUCCAGCCUCACCUUGGUUGGUCUCAGCAUUACUCCAGCACCCACAUGUCUGGUCAGCAGGCUGCGCGAGUGUUCAAUGUCCUUCCGCGACCUUCAGCCAAUGACUUUCACCUCCCUCGCCCCCCAGUGACAGCCUCCCAUGACCUCCUCAACCUGUACUCCAGCAGCUAGCCAACCUCCGGACCUACUCAUCCAGUUCCCUUAAUCUUGUGACAAUUGAUUCAGAUUCCUUGCUCUGCGGACUUGUACGAGUAGCUUCUUCAGUAAAUUUCGUUUUUUUGGUUUAUUGCCUUCAGAAUAAUGUACGAGUGCAAACAUGUUAGUUAUGAGUGUUGGAUUUUAUUUCUUUUUUUUUUUGUUGUUUGGCAAUAAAAUUUGUAUACGUUC